rnacentral:rRNA from 1 species
UUGGGCGUAAAGAGCUCGUAGGUGGUUCGUCACGUCGGAUGUGAAACUCUGGGGAUUUCCCCAGACCUGCAUUCGAUACGGGCGAGCUUGAGUAUGGUAGGGGAGUCUGGAAUUCCUGGUGUAGCGGUGGAAUGCGCAGAUAUCAGGAGGAACACCAAUGGCGAACGCAGGACUCUGGGCCAUUACUGACACUGAGGAGCAAAAGCGUGGGGAGCGAACAGGAUUAGAUACCCUGGUAGUCCACGCCGUAAACGGUGGGCACUAGUUGUGGGGACCUUCCACGGUCUCUGCGACGCAGCUAACGCAUUAAGUGCCCCGCCUGGGGAGUACGAUCGCAAGAUUAAAACUCAAAGGAAUUGACGGGGCCCCGCACAAGCAGCGGAGCAUGCGGCUUAAUUCGACGCAACGCGAAGAACCUUACCAAGGCUUGACAUAUACAGGAAUAUGGCAGAGAUGUCAUAGCCGCAACGUCUGUAUACAGGUGGUGCAUGGUUGUCGUC